CUUCUAGCUCUGCUACUUUGGCCUGGAAUUUGAAAUUCAAUUUAAAUUAACUCUGUGUGCCCAACUUUACUCUUACUUUAGUAAAUAUUCCUGGCAGAAAUAUCAGGACCCUGCCAGCUUAGUUAUACACUGUCCAUGCACGUUAGUGGUCACCGCACCAUGUCUCGAUCACAAACGCCAAUAUUGUUGCAGAAUCAAACAGGCUUAGAGUCAGACAUCAACGAAGCUCACAGGCC